GCCUGGCUGCAGCUUAAGCAGAACGGCGCCGUUUCAGUUUUGAGUAUGUUGCCUUUGAGGGUGCUCGAGCAAGGGUUUCAUCUCUCCGAAAGUGAAAAAUAAUCUUCAAGAGGAAUUCCAGUGAGUUCCGAGAGAAAGAAUACAACGCAACCUUCAGAGCUAGGGCAAGGAGCAAAGUGUGAAAGAAUGAGAGAGGAAAGCACUCAAUGGUUCAUAGCAGCUACCCAAAUAGAUGACCUGUCCUACCCG
rnacentral:lncRNA from 1 species